UACGGAGGGGGCAAGCGUUGUUCGGAAUUACUGGGCGUAAAGGGCGCGUAGGCGGAUUAGCGUGUCAGAGGUGAAAGCCCUGGGCUCAACCCAGGAACAGCCUUUGAAACUGUUGAUCUUGAGUGCGAGAGAGGAUGGCGGAAUUCCCAGUGUAGAGGUGAAAUUCGUAGAUAUUGGGAAGAACACCGGUGGCGAAGGCGGCCAUCUGGCUCGUAACUGACGCUGAGGCGCGAAAGCGUGGGGAGCAAACAGG
rnacentral:rRNA from 1 species